rnacentral:rRNA from 1 species
CCUACGGGUGGCAGCAGUGAGGAAUAUUGGUCAAUGGGCGCGAGCCUGAACCAGCCAAGUAGCGUGAGGGAUGACGGCCCUACGUGUUGUAAACUUCAUUUGUAAAGGAGUAAAGUAAAGCACGUGUGCCUGUUGGUAUGGACUUUAUGAAUAAGGAUGGGCUAGCUCCGUGCCAGCAGCCGCGGUAAUACGGAGGAUCCGAGCGUUAUCCGGAUUUAUUGGGUUUAAAGGGAGCGUAGAGGGGUUGUUAAGUCAGUAGUGAAAGCUCGCGGCUCAACCGUGAAAUUGCAAUUGAUACUGGGAGGCUUGAGUACAGUUGAGGUAGGCGGAAUUCGUGGUGUAGCGGUGAAAUGCUUAGAUAUCAGGAAGAACUCCGAUUGCGAAGGCAGCUUACUAAACUGCCACUGACACUGAUGCUCGAAAGUGUGGGGAGCAAACAGGAUUAGAUACCCCUGUAGUC